rnacentral:rRNA from 1 species
CCUACGGGAGGCAGCAGUGGGGGAUAUUGCACAAUGGGGGGAACCCUGAUGCAGCGACGCAGCGUGGGUGAAGGAGGGUUUCGGCGCGUAAAGCCCUAGCGGAAGGGAAGAAGAUGACGGUACCUGACCAAGAAGCACCGGCUAACUACGUGCCAGCAGCCGCGGUAAGACGGAGGGGGCCAGCGUUAUCCGGAUUUACUGGGUGUAAAGGGGGCGCAGACGGCAAUGCAAGCCAGGAGUGAAAGCCCGGGGCCCAACCCCGGGACUGCUCUUGGAACUGCAUGGCUUGAGUACAGGAGGGGCAGGCGGAAUUCCUAGUGUAGCGGUGAAAUGCGUAGAUAUUAGGAGGAACACCGGUGGCGAAGGCGGCCUGCUGGACUGUGACUGACGUUGAGGCCCGAAGGCGUGGGGAGCAAACAGGAUUAGAUACCCCUGUAGUC